rfam:Triticum urartu cultivar G1812 contig390473, whole genome shotgun sequence.
AUACUACUCCCUUCGUCUCAAAAUUCUUGUCUUAGAUUUGUCUAAAUACGGAUGUAUAAAGUCAUGUUUCAGUAUUAGAUACAUCCGUAUCUAGACAAAUUUAAGAUAAUAAUUUUGGGACGGCAGGAGUAGUAU